GGGAGGUUGUUUGGGAGCUUAUUGCUGCCAGGUUGAUGCUUAUUUUGGGAUGCAGCUGGAGCAAUUGGGGCCUUUCCCAAAAUGGCAAAGGGAUGACACCAUCUCUGGUGUCACAUGACUGAAUUAGACUUUGACCUCAGCUACCUAAUGACCCAGGAAAAGGUGUCCAGGAAACCCUGAAACUGGGCCGUAAGUGAUGAGCAAGCAGAGAUGACCAGCAAGUUUGUCCCUUUUGAAAAUGCCGACAAAUUGAAAUUCCAGUGGAAAAGAAGGAAGUCCUCGUCGAGCAGACUAGCUGGCUCAGCACACCUCCGCAGUCCUAUUGCAAACCUCUGCUAAACUCUGAUGUCUGUGAGGGCUGAUAGAUGGGUCAAUCUUACGCAAAGUUAGCCUGGGACCAUUGAUUUCAAUGGAUAUAAACUGGAAUGAUUCUGCACUGGAUUGCUCUGUAAUUGGCAUCUUCUGUGUGCCAGGAAGGUAGGUGGUGUUGAAUAAUCCAGUCUCAUUGGAUGCUGGAAGCUUAUCAGGGUCAGUACUUGCAUAAGAGGCCACCGAGGAAGGCUUUGUGGGGGGAGGCAAUGGGAAGCCACCUCUGCUUUUCUCUGA